rnacentral:misc_RNA from 1 species
GCCGCUUCAAGUACCAACACCAGUUCUUCGACUUCCUCUCUCUCUUUGUUCUUGCUUACUCACAGUAAUCACUCUAUCCUGUACUGCUUCUCCUACUGAAAUGAACACAUAGAAUAGAAUUCAGAUAAGGCAAGUAUUUUGUAAAACAAGUAUGUGGAAGGUUUGUUCCGAAGGAGAUGGGUAUCCUAGCAACUGGGCUCGUAGUUGCGACACAUGUCAUUCAGCACCCUGCACACUCUACUGCCAUGCUGACUCAACCUACCUCUGUCACAGUUGUGAUGCGUAUAUCCACGCCGCAGAUCCCAUGGCUUCGCAGCAUAAGCGUGUCUGGGUUUGCACUGCAUGUGAAAAUGCUCCGGCUGCUUUUACCUGUCAGGCUGAUGAAGCAAACCUAUGCAUCAACUGUGACAUUGAAAUACACUCGGCCAAUCCAUUGUCGCGCCGCCAUAACAGGGUCCCAGUACUUCCUAUCUCAACUACUUACGUGGAGGAGUUUCAAGGCUCCCUGUUAAAAACAGAAAAUGAAGCCCAGGCGAACAAGAGUACAGUGGAAUUAGAAGAAGAUGAAACAGAUUCUUGGUUGCUGCUUGAUCUUGAUGAUAAUGACAGCCAGACUAAUAGUGGAUUUACUAAUGGUAAGGAUGUUGAUGAGUAUUUGGAUGUCAUUGAAUACAAUUUGUGUACCGAGUAUCAGUGCCAAGACCACAGUGAUCAGCAGCAACUUUCUGGUGUUCAUCAAGGAGAUAGCGGCAGCGAUAGCGUUGUACCAGUACAAUCUUUUGAGCCAAAGGACCAACAAGACCAUCAGCAGCAGCAACAGCAGAAUAUUUUAGUUGACAGCUGGUAUGAAUCCUCUAAAGCUGCUGUCAUCAACACCACUGCAAGCAAUCAGAAAGUCCCUGCGCCUUAUAUGAAUGCUGGCUAUUCACUGACAACAAGCAACAUUCCAAAUUCAUAUUCUAGAUUUCCAAAUGGCACAACUGACCUCCUUCCAAACACUUCACUAUUGAUGCCACUCCAAUUUACUCCACCAAACAGAGAAGCAAGAGUCCAAAGAUAUAGAGAAAGAAGGAAAGCAAGAAAAUUUGAGAAGAAAAUAAGAUAUGCAACUAGGAAGGCUAAUGCAGAGAAUAGACCCCGAGUCAAGGGCCGAUUUGCAAGGAAAACAGACAUGGAGUUUGAAGUGACUGAAGAUUAUGGAUAUGGAAUUGUUCCAUCAUACCAAGUAAAAUAAGGGAAGGAAAAUUGCUUCUGAGUGAUGGAAAAUGAGUUAAUGAUUUUAGUGCAACUCUAGCUAAUGUUGCU